rnacentral:rRNA from 1 species
UCCGUAGGUGAACCUGCGGAAGGAUCAUUAUUGAAUAAACUUGGUGGGCUGCUGCUGGCUUUACGAAGCAUGUGCACGCCUGCUGACUUUUAUCAAUCCACCUGUGCACCAUCUGUAGUCUUGGGAAGUUGAGAGUGGCCUUUGGGUUGUAAUCGACUUCUCUGACUAUGUUUUUGCAUACAUCAUGUAACCAGAAUGUACACCAAGGCCUUUUGUGCCUAUAAAUAUCAUUACAACUUUCAGCAACGGAUCUCUUGGCUCUCGCAUCGAUGAAGAACGCAGCGAAAUGCGAUAAGUAAUGUGAAUUGCAGAAUUCAGUGAAUCAUCGAAUCUUUGAACGCACCUUGCGCUCCUUGGUAUUCCGAGGAGCAUGCCUGUUUGAGUGUCAUUUAAUUCUCAACCACACUUGGUUUGUUAAGCUAGGCUGUGGCUUGGAUAUGGGGGUACUGUUGCGGGCUUCGCUUCUGAGGUCAGCUCCCCUAAAAUGCAUCAACAGAACAGUUUGCGGUCAGUCACCGGUGUGAUAAUUAUCUACGCCCAUGACAAAAAUACCGCUCUCCGUCUGUUCAAGUCAUGAUUGUCUCAUGAGCGACAACUUCUGAACACCUUGACCUCAAAUCAGGUAGGACUACCCGCUGAACUUAAGCAUAUCAAUAAGCGGAGGA